AGAGUUUGAUCAUGGCUCAGGACGAACGCUGGCGGCGUGCUUAACACAUGCAAGUCGAACGAUGACGAUGGUGCUUGCACCGUCUGAUUAGUGGCGAACGGGUGAGUAACACGUGAGUAACCUGCCCUCCUCUUCGGGAUAACCGCCGGAAACGGUGGCUAAUACCGGAUAUGAAUGCCUGCCGCAUGGUGGGUGUUGGAAAGAUUUAUCGGUGGGGGAUGGACUCGCGGCCUAUCAGUUUGUUGGUGAGGUAAUGGCUCACCAAGGCGAUGACGGGUAGCCGGCCUGAGAGGGCGACCGGCCACACUGGGACUGAGACACGGCCCAGACUCCUACGGGAGGCAGCAGUGGGGAAUAUUGCACAAUGGGCGAAAGCCUGAUGCAGCGACGCCGCGUGGGGGAUGACGGCCUUCGGGUUGUAAACCUCUUUCAGUAGGGAAGAAGCGAGAGUGACGGUACCUGCAGAAGAAGCGCCGGCUAACUACGUGCCAGCAGCCGCGGUAAUACGUAGGGCGCAAGCGUUGUCCGGAAUUAUUGGGCGUAAAGAGCUUGUAGGUGGCUUGUCGCGUCUGCCGUGAAAACCCGAGGCUCAACCUCGGGCGUGCGGUGGGUACGGGCAGGCUAGAGUGUGGUAGGGGAGACUGGAACUCCUGGUGUAGCGGUGAAAUGCGCAGAUAUCAGG
rnacentral:rRNA from 1 species